rnacentral:rRNA from 1 species
GACGAACGCUGGCGGCGUGCUUAACACAUGCAAGUCGAACGGAAAGGCCCUGCUUUUGUGGGGUGCUCGAGUGGCGAACGGGUGAGUAACACGUGAGUAACCUGCCCCUGACUUUGGGAUAACUUCAGGAAACUGGGGCUAAUACCGGAUAGGAGCUCCUGCUGCAUGGUGGGGGUUGGAAAGUUUCGGCGGUUGGGGAUGGACUCGCGGCUUAUCAGCUUGUUGGUGGGGUAGUGGCUUACCAAGGCUUUGACGGGUAGCCGGCCUGAGAGGGGGACCGGCCACAUUGGGACUGAGAGACGGCCCAGACUCCUACGGGAGGCAGCAGUGGGGAAUAUUGCACAAUGGGCGGAAGCCUGAUGCAGCAACGCCGCGUGCGGGAUGACGGCCUUCGGGUUGUAAACCGCUUUCGCCUGUGACGAAGCGUGAGUGACGGUAAUGGGUAAAGAAGCACCGGCUAACUACGUG